rnacentral:rRNA from 1 species
UACGGGGGGAGCAAGCGUUGUUCGGAUUUACUGGGCGUAAAGGGCGCGUAGGCGGUCAGCACAAGUCAGUUGUGAAAUCUCCGGGCUUAACUCGGAAAGGUCAACUGAUACUGUGCGACUAGAGUGCAGAAGGGGCAACUGGAAUUCUCGGUGUAGCGGUGAAAUGCGUAGAUAUCAAGAGGAACACCUGAGGUGAAGACGGGUUGCUGGGCCGACACUGACGCUGACAGCGCGAAAGCCAGGGGAGCAAACGGG